CCUACGGGAGGCAGCAGUGGGGAAUUUUGGACAAUGGGCGCAAGCCUGAUCCAGCCAUGCCGCGUGCGGGAAGAAGGCCUUCGGGUUGUAAACCGCUUUUGCCAGGGAAGAAAAGGUUCUGGCUAAUACCUGGGACUCAUGACGGUACCUGAAGAAUAAGCACCGGCUAACUACGUGCCAGCAGCCGCGGUAAUACGUAGGGUGCAAGCGUUAAUCGGAAUUACUGGGCGUAAAGCGUGCGCAGGCGGUUAUGCAAGACAGAGGUGAAAUCCCCGGGCUCAACCUGGGAACUGCCUUUGUGACUGCAUAGCUAGAGUACGGUAGAGGGGGAUGGAAUUCCGCGUGUAGCAGUGAAAUGCGUAGAUAUGCGGAGGAACACCGAUGGCGAAGGCAAUCCCCUGGACCUGUACUGACGCUCAUGCACGAAAGCGUGGGGAGCAAACAGGAUUAGAUACCCUGGUAGUCCACGCCCUAAACGAUGUCACUGGUUGUGGGUAGGUUUCUUCUCUAGUACGUAGUCUACGCGUGAGUAGACGCCGUGGGAGGUACGGCCGCGAGUAGAACGUACGAAGAAGUAGACGCGUGAGACGUGCCGACGGACGACGACGAGGGAGGAGG
rnacentral:rRNA from 1 species